rnacentral:rRNA from 1 species
GACGAACGCUGGCGGCGUGCUUAACACAUGCAAGUCGAACGGAAAGGCCCUGAUUUUGUGGGGUGCUCGAGUGGCGAAGGGGUGAGUAAAACGUGAGUAAACUGCACUUGACUUUGGGAUAAAUUCAGGAAACUGGGGAUAAUACCGGAUAGGAGCUCCUGCUGCAUGGGGGGGGAUGGAAAGUUACGGCGGUUGGGGAUGGAUUAGCGGCUUAUCAGCUUGUUGGUGGGGUAGUGGAUGACCAAGGCUAUGACUGGUAGGCGGCAUGAGAGCGUGACCGGCCUCCUUGGGACUGAGAUACGGCCCAGACUCCUACGGGACGCAGCAGUGGGGAAUAUUGCACAAUGGGCGGAAGCCUGAUGCAGCAACGCCGCGUUCGUGAUGACGUCCUUCGGGUUGUAAACCGCUUUCUCCUGUGACGAAGCGUUAUUGACGGUAAUGGGUAAGGAAGCACCGGCUAACUACGUG